rnacentral:lncRNA from 1 species
UUUCUGUGUAUUGAAGUCCGAAACUCUCGAAUUGGUUAUAUAGCCAAGGUAUUUAGGGUUUCCAUUGAAUUCAACGUGAAGAGAAAGCUAAGUAUUAAUUACUAAAUAUUUACUCACAUUUAAUACAUAUAUAUGUGGAUUGAAGGGUCUGUUGUCUCAAUUCAGACACAAGGUCGAACUCUUCUAGGGCCAGGACAUAUGGGCCACAAAUAUAAACUAAGGCCCAUACGACAACCCCAUAAAGGCCUAGGUUUUGUCAGCCUUAUGAUCAGCCCACCUCAGAAGCUUCUUUGUCCUAUAAAAAUAUACCUGAAACGUGAAGUUGAGGUUAAGGGUUUUAGAGGCAAGUUUAGCAGAGCAGAUACAACAAAUAGAAUUAGAGUGGCGGUGAAGAUACUCAAAGUUCUGAUCAGGUUGUGUUGCUUGGCUGUGUUAGUGUCAUCUGUCGUUGGUGAUAUCUCUUCUCUGGUUCCUGUUGAAGUAGAAGAGAUUAGACGUUAGAAUAGGUUUACGAUAUAAGCUCAACAUAUUGUAAACUCUUGUUCCUGACACUAGUGGAUAUUUGAGAGGACAGUCUCUCCCCAGACGUACCGAAAAGGGAACUGGGUUACCAAAUUGUCUUGUGUCUUUAACUUACAAACAAACAAACGUAUCAAGGUCACAUUGAUCAAAGCUAACUUAGGUGAUAUAAGUUGGAACAGAGGUGGAAACGUAUUUUCUUCACCUCACAAGUGGUAUCAGAGCUUCAGGCUAUUGCAGAGAACACGGUUUACAGUUUCAGAUCUGCAGUUGGUGUGAACACAUAAGGAAGAUCCGGUGUGUAACCAUGAAACCCACUCGAAUCAAAAUUGAUGUGGAAAAGUUUGAUGGUAAAGGAGACUUCGGAAUGUGGAAAUUCAAGAUGCAAAUGCAGCUUGAAAAUUCGGGAUUGGACAGUGUCCUCGUGGGGGAUAAGUCAAGCUCAUCGUCUGAAAAGGGUGCACUUAAGGAUGAUGGAACAGAGUCAAAACCAGUGCUAUCUCCUGGAGAGUUAACUGAAAAGGAGAAAGAUAAAAGAGCUAAGAACAUGAUAUGCGCAAGUCUUGGCAAUCUGGUUUUGAGGAAAGUUAUGAAGGAGACUACUGCUCUUGGAGUAUGGAGAGCUCUUGAACGAGAUUAUCAGACAAAAACAUUACCUAACAGGAUAUAUCUAAAACAGCGGUUUGCAAGUUUUAAGAUGGAGGAGCACAAGAGUAUUGAGGAGAACCUAGAUGUGUUUCUCAGAUUAGUUGAUGAUUUGGAGAGUCUGAGCAUCUCAGUGAGUGACGAAGACCAAGCGGUGCAGGUGCUGUCAAGUCUACCUAAACCGUAUGACUCACUUGUACAUACACUCAAAUAUGGGAAUGGAAAGGAGACUCUGACACUGCAAGAAGUUACCUCAUCCGCGUAUGCUAAGGAAGUUGAACUCAAGGAAUCUGGACUCAUAGGAAAAACAAAGUCAAACGCAGAAGGAUUGUUAGUAGGCAGAGGUAGAACUGACAGAAAAUCUCACGGAAAGGGCAGGUCUAAAAGUAGAGAUGCAAGGUCUAAAUCUAGACCCAGAGGAACAUACAAACCUCGGGAGUGUUGGACAUGUGGAAAGGAAGGCCAUUACAAAAGAGACUGUCCAGACAAGAAGAAUUGGAAGCAGAAUGAAUCUGCAAACUUGGCUCAGGAAAAGGAUCAACAUAUGGUCUUAACGGCCAGCUUACAAGACCCUAAGAAAGAAUGGGUACUGGACUCUGGCUGCACCUUUCACAUAACCCCUGAAAAGGAUGUUUUAUUUGACUUCAAGGAAGUAGACGGAGGAAAGGUCUUGAUGGGAAAUAACACCCACAGUGAAGUCAAAGGCAUAGGAAAGCUUAAGAUCAUAAACUCUGAUGGAUUAACUGUGAUUCUAAGCGACGUGAGGUACAUGCCAACUAUGAGCAGAAACCUCAUAUCCUAUGGCCAACUAGAGAAAAACGGGUGCAAGUAUGAAGGAAAGGAUUUCAUUGUUACUUUCUAUCGACAAGGAAAGAAAGUAAUUUCAGGAAAGUAUCAAGAUGGCUUGUACUACUUACAAGGUUCAGUUGUUAAUGGUGAAGCAUCAGUGGCACGAACUGAAGUGAAUCUAACUAAUCGCUGGCACUCUAGGUUGGGACACAUGAGUUUGAAAAAUAUGAAUCUCCUGGUUAAAAGAGGAUAUCUGAGCUCAAAGGAAGUGCAUACGUUAGACUUCUGUGAAAAAUGUGUAUUUGGGAAAGCUCAUAAGCAGAGCUUCCCAGAAGGAAAGCACACGUCAACUAGUGUGCUGGAGUACAUCCACAGUGAUUUAUGGGGAUCUGUCUUCAAUGAGCCAAGUCUGUCUGGAUGCAGGUAUUUUCUCACCUUUAUAGAUGAUUUUUCAAGGAAGGUUUGGAUAAGGUUUCAGAGAAGCAAGGACGAGGUAUUUGAUCACUUCUCAGAAUGGAAAACACUUAUAGAAAACCAAACCAAUAAGAAAAUCAAAUGUCUUAGAACAGACAAUGGACUAGAGUUUUGCAAUCUACAGAUGGACAAGCUAUGUCAGAGUUCAGGGAUUAAACGUCACAAGACGUGUACCUACACCCCACAACAAAAUGGGGUCGCAGAGAGAAUGAAUAGAACUAUAGCUGACAAGAUAAGGUGUAUGCUGGCUGAAUCAGGAUUGAAAAAGAGUUUCUGGGCCGAAGCAGCGUGUACGGCGGUAUAUUUGAUAAAUAGAUCGCCUAAUGCAUCACUAAAAUUCAAGAUACCAGAAGAGGUUUGGUCAGGGUCUAAGGUUGACUAUGGACAUCUCAAGCGUUUUGGAUGUGUAGCCUAUGUCCAUAAAGUUCAGGACAAAAUUAGCCCAAGAGCUGUAAAGGGAAUUUUUGUAGGAUACCCCCAAGGAGUUAAGGGCUACAGGAUCUGGAUUCCAGAAGAUGAAAAAUGCACUAACAGUAGAAAUGUUGUCUUCGAUGAGGGAAAACUGUUUAACCAACAGGAAGCUUCGGAGGAAUCUAGACCUAAGGAAAAGAAGAAAGUCACAUUCAGUACUAACCUAAUCCGAGGACCAUCUAGACAAGAUUCUAACGCAGAAAACACUGGUGAAGGUGGAGUGAUCACUACUACUGGUCAAGAAAGUAAUGAUCAAGGUGGAGAAAGUUUGGAAUCUGAAGUAAUAGAAUCCGCAGAUGAGGUGGAAGUAAAUCAAGAAUCUGAACUGAAUGAAGAAGGAAGUCUAGAUGACUACAUUUUGGCUAGAGACAGAGGGAGGCGCACCAUACGACCACCUUCGAGGUAUGACGAUGGUGAGUCAGUGGUGGCUUAUGCAUUAGCGUGUGCAGAAAGCAUUGAACUCGAUGAGCCAAAAUCAGUUGCGGAAGCAAAGCGAAGCAAAGACUGGAAGAAAUGGAAACAAGCAAUGGUGGAAGAAAAAGUCUCCUUAGACGAAAACAAGACCAUGAUACUUGUUCCUAGACCUGCUAAGCAAAGAGUAAUUGGAUGUAAAUGGCUAUACAAAUACAAGGAGGGAAUACCUGGUGUGGAAUCACCUAGGUACAAGGCUCGGCUAGUAGCCAAAGGCUACACACAAAUCGAAGGGGUCGACUACAAUGAAAUAUUUGCACCUGUGGUCAAACAUGUGUCAAUUCGAAUCAUGCUUUCUAUUGUGGUGAACUACGAUUUUGAACUGGAGCAACUGGAUGUUAAAACAGCAUUCCUAAAUGGUACAUUAGAUGAAGUUAUUUACAUGGAACAGCCAGAAGAGUUUAUAGCUAAAGGAGAUGAAGGAAAAGUGUGCCUCCUAAAAAAAUCUUUGUAUGGUUUGAAACAAUCUCCAAGACAGUGGAAUCAGAAAUUCAAUGAGUUUAUGAAGUCACAAGGGUUUCAAAGAUGCACAAAGGAUCAGUGUGUGUUUACAAAGGGAUCAGAAAUUGAGGACAGAAUCUAUCUACUGCUCUACGUUGAUGAUAUGUUGGUAGCAGCAAAAGACAUUCGAAAAAUAAACAUUUUGAAGGCAAGUCUAAACAAAGAGUUUCAAAUGAAAGAUUUAGGACCUGCGUCCAGAAUUCUUGGCAUGGAAAUCAUCAGAGACAGGAAGAAAGGAACACUAAGGUUAUCCCAAGAACGGUAUCUUAAGCAAGUGUUAAAAACGUUCAACAUGGAAGAAUGCAGAGCUGUAACUACACCGAGCAACUCACAGUUCAAAUUAAGGAGCCUAACUAAAGAAGAACUGAUCACUGAAAGACGCCUAAUGGAUACAGUUCCCUAUGCUAGCGCUGUAGGAAGCCUCAUGUAUGCGAUGAUAGGCUCAAGGCCUGAUCUAGGGUUCGCUAUUUGCUUGGUAAGCCGUUUCAUGGCAAACCCAGGGAGGGAUCACUGGUCUGCGGUUAAGUGGAUCCUAAGAUACCUAAAGGAAGCUACUGGAGUGUGCCUAAAUUUUACCAAGUCAGAGGUAUUUGACAUUGAAGGGUUCUCUGACUCAGAUUAUUCCAGUGAUCUGGACAAACGAAGAUCUGUGUCAGGUUAUGUUUUUCGAGUUGGUGGUAAUACCAUAAGUUGGAGGUCGUGUCUACAACAAGUUGUGGCACUAUCCACUACGGAAGCAGAAUACAUGGCACUAGCAGAAGCUACUAAGGAAGGACUAUGGCUUAGAGACCUAUGCGAGGAACUGGGGUUUAAACAGAGCAAUUUCAAACUAAACUGUGAUUCCCAAAGUGCAAUCUAUCUAGCCAAAAGCAGUGCACACCAUGACAGAACAAAACACAUCGACAGGAAAUAUCAUUUUAUCAGAGAUAUAAUUGAGGCGGGUUCGAUGAAGGUUCUAAAGGUGCAUACUACAAAGAAUCCAGCUGAUAUGCUUACUAAAUGUUUACCUGGAAACAGCUUUGAGAAGUGCUUGGCGCUUCUAAAUGUCUCAGCAUAAGUCAGCAAAGGGGUCCAGAGGUUACUCUUCGUCGGUUUGAGUAUCUCGUCAUGGACCGAAAACAGAUAUUGAGGUGCAUCAGUAUUGGUAAUAGGAAAUCGACAGAGAAGGAUAAUUCAGAUGGUAAAAUCUGAAGGUUUAUCAAGACUGUGUUUUGAGCAGUGUUCGAAUGGUCAAAUUCGAGGUGGAGUUAAUUACCUGGCAUUGAAGCCGUUCAUCAAGAAAUCUAAAUCUCUUUCAGCAACUGCAGAUGCGAAACAAGGAAGAUAAGUUAGAUAUCAAGAAGAACAGAUUAAGGGGAUGCAGAAACUGAAAAAAAAAAACAAGGUCGUUUGUUCAAAAGAGUUCACUGUAUUGAACCUGAGUCUGUGCGUGUGGCGUUAAUGACGGGAGUGAUUGUGCGAGUCUAAUAUCUCCAGUGGUGAAACUGGGAAGAGUGUUGUCUUGAAGUCAGUCAUCAAAAAAAAAAAAAAAAAAAAAAGUGGGAGAGGGUGGUUCGACGGUAUUGUCAAUGAACUUGACGAGGUCAUACCCUCUGAGAAGAGAAGUGAUUUGAACGCUCCAGGUUAAAUAGUUUGUCGCAGACAGUUUGGUGAUAUUGACCAUGUUGAUUGUGGCGAUGGGGUUUUGUGGAUCAGAUCGGUCAAUGAUGUGGGAAGCGUUGGAGGAGGAGGAGGUCGAGUCCAUGAUGGAGUCGAGAAAAAAAAAAAAAAAAAAAUUGGAGCUACCAAGGAAAGGAGAAUAGUCGACAAUUCUCCAAUCUGGAAUGAGACCGAAAGUGAUGAAGGCUUAAAAGGGAAACACAGAAGUUGUUACUCAAACAUGAAAGUUUCAGAGACUUACAAAGUAGAAAUGAGUCCCCGUGGUUAAACGGAAGAGGCUGAACAGCUCACAAAGGUGUUUAUCAUGAGCAACACCAAAGAUCAGAAGUCGGAUCUUGUCGACGGUAAAGGAGACAGAGGCGAUAGUGACUAGAGAUCCACAUAAAGGGAAAAGAAGCAUCAGAACAGAUUGAUCAAAAAAAAAAAUGAAUCUCAAGGUUGAUUGAAGAUUUGAGGAAGAUUGGUAGGCGAUAGAAAUGAAGUUGAGCUGAAUCGAAGACAAAGGUGGAGAUUGAAGGGUCUGUUGUCUCAAUUCAGACACAAGGUCGAACUCUUCUAGGGCCAGGACAUAUGGGCCACAAAUAUAAACUAAGGCCCAUACGACAACCCCAUAAAGGCCUAGGUUUUGUCAGCCUUAUGAUCAGCCCACCUCAGAAGCUUCUUUGUCCUAUAAAAAUAUAC